rnacentral:tRNA from 1 species
GCGGGACGGGUCAAACAUUGGAAAUAUCUGAUUUGUAAUCAGCAGGUCGGGGGUUCGAAUCCGUCCGCCAGCUCCA